rnacentral:piRNA from 1 species
UGCUAACCAGGCCUUACAAAAA